rnacentral:rRNA from 1 species
UACGAAGGGGGCUAGCGUUGCUCGGAAUGACUGGGCGUAAAGGGCGCGUAGGCGGAUGGCACAGUCAGAUGUGAAAUUCCCGGGCUUAACCUGGGGGCUGCAUUUGAUACGUGUUGUCUAGAGUGAGGAAGAGGGUCGUGGAAUUCCCAGUGUAGAGGUGAAAUUCGUAGAUAUUGGGAAGAACACCGGUGGCGAAGGCGGCGACCUGGUCCUUGACUGACGCUGAGGCGCGAAAGCGUGGGGAGC